rnacentral:rRNA from 1 species
GGGGAUAAGAUCUCGAAAGGGGUUCUAAUACCGCAUAGGACCACAGCGCCACAUGGCGCAGGGGUGAAAGGAGGAAUCCGGUCAAGGGUGGGCUCGCGUCUGAUUAGAUAGUUGGUGAGGUAACGGCUCACCAAGUCAACGAUCAGUAGCCGACCUGAGAGGGUGAUCGGCCACAUUGGGACUGAGACACGGCCCAAACUCCUACGGGAGGCAGCAGUGGGGAAUAUUGGGCAAUGGGGGAAACCCUGACCCAGCAACGCCGCGUGAGGGAAGAAGGUUUUCGGAUCGUAAACCUCUGUCCUUGGUGAAGAGAAGAAGACGGUAGCCAAGGAGGAAGCCCCGGCUAACUACGUGCCAGCAGCCGCGGUAAUACGUAGGGGGCAAGCGUUGUCCGGAAUGAUUGGGCGUAAAGGGCGCGUAGGCGGCCUGGUAAGUCUGGAGUGAAAGUCCUUCUUUUAAGGAGGGAAUUGCUUUGGAUACUGCUGGGCUUGAGUGCAGGAGAGGUAAGUGGAAUUCCCAGUGUAGCGGUGAAAUGCGUAGAGAUUGGGAGGAACACCAGUGGCGAAGGCGACUUACUGGACUGUAACUGACGCUGAGGCGCGAAAGUGUGGGGAGCAAACAGGAUUAGAUACCCUGGUAGUCCACACUGUAAACG